rnacentral:rRNA from 1 species
GAUGAACGCUGGCGGCGUGCCUAAUACAUGCAAGUCGAGCGAACAGACGAGGAGCUUGCUCCUCUGACGUUAGCGGCGGACGGGUGAGUAACACGUGGAUAACCUACCUAUAAGACUGGGAUAACUUCGGGAAACCGGAGCUAAUACCGGAUAAUAUAUUGAACCGCAUGGUUCAAUAGUGAAAGACGGUUUUGCUGUCACUUAUAGAUGGAUCCGCGCCGCAUUAGCUAGUUGGUAAGGUAACGGCUUACCAAGGCAACGAUGCGGAGCCGACCUGAGAGGGUGAUCGGCCACACUGGAACGGAGACACGGUCCAGACUCCUACGGGAGGCAGCAGUAGGGAAUCUGCCGCAAUGGGCGAAAGCCUGACGGAGCAACGCCGCGUGAGUGAUGAAGGUCUUCGGAUCGUAAAACUCUGUUAUUAGGGAAGAACAAAUGUGGAAGUAACUAUGCACGUCUUGACGGUAACUAAUCAGAAAGCCACGGCUAACUACGUG